GACCGUUCGGGUGGCCUAGUGGUUAGAGAGUCCGCCUCAGAUGCGGUGUUUGCGGGUUCAAACCCCGGCCAAGUCA